UCCCGUUUAGCUCAGUUGGUAGAGCGCGUCACUAGUAGUUCGACUCCGAUGUGGGUGAUCUAUUCAUGACGAGGUCAGUCGUUCGAGUCGGCUAAUGGGAA